AAUAGAUACCCAGGUAGUCCUAGCCAUCAACGAUGGAUACUGGAUAUUCCUGCACUCAUGUGGGAGUGUCGAAGCCAACGCGUUAAGUAUCCCGCCUGGGGAGUACGGUCGCAAGAUUGAAACUCAAAGGAAUUGACGGGGGCCCGCACAAGCGGUGGAGCAUGUGGUUUAAUUCGACGCAACGCGAAGAACCUUACCUGGGCUUGAACUGUCGGUAUAGGGACCCGAAAGGGCGACGAUCCCGGGCAACCGGGAAGCCGAUAGAGGUGCUGCAUGGCUGUCGUCAGCUCGUGUCGUGAGAUGUUGGGUUAAGUCCCGCAACGAGCGCAACCCUUGUCUUUAGUUGCCAGCGAGUCAUGUCGGGCACUCUAAGGAGACUGCCUCGGAUAACGAGGAGGAAGGUGGGGAUGACGUCAAGUCAGCAUGGCCUUUAUGUCCAGGGCUACACACGUGCUACAGUGGGCGGCACAGAAGGACGCGAGACCGCGAGGUCAAGCCAACCCUUAAACCGGUUCUCAGUUCGGAUUGC
rnacentral:rRNA from 1 species